GUCGCCCUACGGUGUACGUGAUCGCCGGCUUUGCGUUUUGAGCCAACAAACAAUUAAUCGGGGGCUGACUCUUCAGAGGGGAAUGCGAUAGGCUUCGGCCAAGGCAAACCACUGAGCAGGCUCCCACCUGCGAGAGCAGGUUCAAAACUCAUCGGCACACGGCAUUGUGGGGCGCCU
rnacentral:other from 1 species